GCAAGUCGAGCGAGAAAGCCCUUCGGGGUGAGUACAGCGGCGGACGGGUGAGUAACGCGUAGGAAUCUACCUAGUAGUGGGGGACAACUCGUGGAAACGCGAGCUAAUACCGCAUACGCCCUACGGGGGAAAGCGGGGGAUCUUCGGACCUCGUGCUAUUAGAUGAGCCUGCGUAAGAUUAGCUAGUUGGUGGGGUAAUGGCCUACCAAGGCGACGAUCUUUAGCUGGUCUGAGAGGAUGAUCAGCCACACCGGGACUGAGACACGGCCCGGACUCCUACGGGAGGCAGCAGUCGGGAAUAUUGCGCAAUGGGCGAAAGCCUGACGCAGCCAUGCCGCGUGUGUGAAGAAGGCCCUAGGGUUGUAAAGCACUUUCAAUUGGGAGGAAAAGCUAAUGGUUAAUAGCCAUUAGCCCUGACGUUACCUUUAGAAGAAGCACCGGCUAACUCCGUGCCAGCAGCCGCGGUAAUACGGAGGGUGCAAGCGUUAAUCGGAAUUACUGGGCGUAAAGCGCGCGUAGGCGGUUUUUUAAGUCGGAUGUGAAAGCCCCGGGCUCAACCUGGGAAUUGCAUCCGAUACUGGAUGACUAGAAUGCGGGAGAGGGAGGUAGAAUUCCAUGUGUAGCAGUGAAAUGCGUAGAUAUAUGGAGGAAUACCAGUGGCGAAGGCGGCCUCCUGGCUCGACAUUGACGCUGAGGUGCG
rnacentral:rRNA from 1 species